rnacentral:lncRNA from 1 species
ACAAAUAAGGGAGUUAUUGCUCCCUGGUUAUGAAGCUGCCAGGAGGUAAAUAAAAGAACUAAGUUGGACUUGAAACCCUCCAAAUUAAAACAAAAACAAACCUUGCUUUGAGCUGUUGGAAGGCAUUUUAUUGAGACUAGGAUCCAGAUGCUGCUGCUUUUUUUAACUUAUGCUGAAAGGCAAAGCAUUAGGACUUAGAAAAAGGUUACCCGAGGUCACCUUAUGUCAGCAAGCAAUAGUCUGAACUGAUAAAAAAAAGAUGAAAUUAUGAACGGGGGAAGAAACCAGGGGCAAUACAUGCCAUAAAUAUGGAAGAGGCUGUGAAUUUUUUUCUCAUUUCCUGUACAUAAUAUAAAAACCUAAUACAUAGUAGGAGUACAAUUAUUUGAGGCUUGAAUGAAUAAAUGAAGAAGGAAGUCCACACAUAGCAUGUAGGUAAUAUUUAGUUGGGAAGGGGGAAUUUCAGAAAAGCCAAAUGGCUCAAGCCCUCUGCAUGAUCCUGAAAUGUCACCCCAAUCCAUUGUGAAACAGCUAUAAUACUUGUCAUCAAAAUAACCCAAAACAAAUGAUCUGCCUUCCUGAUGUAAAAAAUGCUCAGUAACUGUAAAUUUUUGUAUUAGGGUGUUCAGAUUAGCAUGAAGUGAGCCUGUACAUGAACUUUACACAUUCCUUUAGAUUUGCACCUUGUAUGAGCAAUGAAUUGUUGGACUAAAGAAUUGCCAACCAGUAAUAAUGAAAUCAAAUUUCACAGGGAAUAUUGAUGAGUGAUGUAGAUUUUAUCUGUCCCACUUUCCAAAUUGACUAGUCUGGCCUUGGCCUCCAUUUGUGUUCUGGCUUCCACAAACAGCAGACCAAGAGACUAAUUUCCUCUGAAGGUAGCACCUGUCUCCUAUGUGUCCUCUACCAUGUCCACUUGGGCACUUGAAAG